rnacentral:rRNA from 1 species
AUUGAACGCUGGCGGCAGGCCUAACACAUGCAAGUCGAACGAGUGGCGGACGGGUGCGUAAUGUCUGGGAAACUGCCUGCUGUAGGGGGCUCACUACUGGAACCGGUAGCUAAUACCGCAUACCAUCAGAUUUGCCCAUCUGGGAUUCGCUUGUUGGUGGGGUAACAGCUCACCUAGGCGCCGAUCCCUAGCUGGUCUGAGAGGAUGACCGGCAACACGGGAACUGGGACACGGUCCAGACUCCUACGUGAGGCAGCAGUGGGGAAUAUUGCACAAUGGGCGCAAGCCUGAGGCAGCCAUGCCGCGUGUAUGAAGAAGGCCUGCGGGUUGUAAAGUACGUUCAGCGGGGAGGCGUUACCCGCAGAAGAAGCACCGGCUAACUCCGUGCCAGCCGCCGCGGUAAUAC